rnacentral:tmRNA from 1 species
AAGAUUCACGAAACCCAAGGUGCAUGCCGAGGUGCGGUAGGCCUCGUUAACAAACCGCAAAAAAAUAGUCGCAAACGACGAAAACUACGCACUAGCAGCUUAAUAACCUGCAUAGAGCCCUUCUACCCUAGCUUGCCUGUGUCCUAGGGAAUCGGAAGGUCAUCCUUCACAGGAUCGUGUGGAAGUCCUGCUCGGGGCGGAAGCAUUAAAACCAAUCGAGCUAGUCAAUUCGUGGCGUGUCUCUCCGCAGCGGGUUGGCGAAUGUAAAGAGUGACUAAGCAUGUAGUACCGAGGAUGUAGUAAUU